CUCACAGUGGAUCUAAAUUGAGCAAUCAGCCUGUACAGGGUCAGAAGCAGGGAAACGGAAGAUGGGCCCUGUCCUGGGCCCCCCAAGUAAUGGGGUCAUGUAUGGAUAUUGUCUCUAAAAGAAGUCUAAUUCAAAUUUCAGUAUUUCCAAAAUUUCCAGGACAGGCCAAGUAUACACAGAAGAUUAACACCUGCCAUGAGGACAUGUCACGUGUACAUCUGCUGACUACCCUCAACCAUCAAAGACAUCCC